rnacentral:lncRNA from 10 species
CUCCCACUCCUGGCCUCACAUUUCUCUGUGUGAUCCCCCACUUCUGGGCUCUGCCACCCCACAGUGGGAAAGGCCACCCUAGAAAGAAGUCCGCUGGCACCCAUAGGAAGGGGCCUCAGGAGCAGGAAGGGCCAGGACUGCCUUCCUGCCUCUCCCCUUCCUCCUCUGCUCUUGAUCUGUGUUUCAAUAAAUUAAUGUAGCCAACCUGGGUCUUGUGUGUGUCUCUAUUACCCUCCUCAGGGGUCGGGGUUAGGGAGGGUCCCCAAAGUCACAUCAUGAAAAUCAGAUUCACCAAUCACUCAAAGCUUGAGGCAACAUCACCCAUUGCUUUGGUAGGGAAGACUCAUGCCUGAGUAAUUUAUUGGAAUUCUUUAAGAGGUGAAUACAUGAAUAUGAUUUAAAGUUUCAAAAAGCCUUUGAUGUUGGCUUUCUUUUUUUUUUUUUUAAAUGGCAUCACUCUGGGGUUUUGGAGACCUGCCACAGCUGAUACAUUUUCCUCAAAGACAGAAAACAGCACAUAGCAAGAUGAUGUGGCAUAGAGGGGGGACACGGACUCCAGCCAGACUGCCUGGGCCCCAAGCUGGGCCCUGGUCCUUCCUAGGUGAGUGGGUUGGGCAAUGUAUUUACCCUCUCUGUGCCUGUUUCCACACCUCCAAAAUGAGGAUGAUAGAAAGGG